rnacentral:lncRNA from 1 species
ACCAGUUGGACAGAUAAGUAGGUACCUACGAUUAUGAGUUAAUUGAUUUCCACCGCGUAGUAUUGUAUGAACAGUUUAUCCGUUGCUUAUUGUCCGUUUGUAUUUUAUCACGUAUUAUCGUUAUAAUAUUUAAUUAUUCUGUGAGUAAUUUGUUAAUUUUAAUUCUAUAUCAUGCCAAAACAUAAAAUCGAAGAUGAACACAGAAUAUUUCAAGACAGUUGGGAGAUUAAAUUUUUCUUUAUUUCUGGUAAGAAACGCCAUGCUUUAUGUUUAAUUUGUCAUAAAACCAUAAAUAUUCCAAAACAUAAUAUUAAUUGUCAUUAAACAACUCACCAUACUGAAUUUUCUAAAAAUUAUCCCCACCCAAAAUCUUAAAAUAAGAGAAGAAAAACUCAUUGAAUUAAAAAAAGGAAUUUUUUUCUAAAAAACAAUCAAUGUUACAAUUCACUAAUAAUAAUGAACUUUCAACAAAAGCACCGUAUAAAAUAACACAUAUGUUAGUAAACCUCAUGAACCCAUUUUCGGGUGCCGAACUAAUGAAAAAAUGUAUGGAAACAGUUGUAAAUACUCUGUUUUAUAAUUUAUCCAAUUUUAAAGAAUUACGUGACCAAAUUUCAAAUCUGCAGUUAUCUAAUACUACAUGUGUUCGUAGGAUCACACAUCUUAGAAAUCAAGUAUUCGAUUUCGUAAUCAACGAAUUAAUAGAUUGCCAAUUUUUUUUUUUAGCAUUAGAUUCGUCAGUAGAUAUAAGCUCUACUUCUCAAUUAACACUUUUUGUUAGAUUUUGUUUAAAAGAUAAUAUUAUUAAAGAAGACUUUUUGAAAGUCAUACCGAUAAAAAGCCAAACUCGUGGAAUGGAUUAUUUUAAUAAUAAUAAUAAAUUUUUAUUUUAUUAUUAGCCUGCCCAAAUCACAACAGUCUAAGACUUAAAACUGUGAAUAAUCUUUCUAAACGUCAAUUUUAAAAACAAAUUAAAGCUCAACCAUAAGUAAGUCACAAUGUCUAUUGAUUCUUGAUGUUUUUUUAACUAAUCAAUGUUUAUUUUUAGAUCACAUACAAUUCAAAUAUGAUACACAAUUCUUGUAAUUGUAUAAAUAGUACAAGUACAGCUAUUAAUGCAAAUAACACAACAAUAUUCAAAUCAGGCAAUACAACAGUGGUGCAGAUUCUUCAAUUUUUCAAAAAUGUCCUUUUUCAUUUUUCAAUUUACCUAAUUUAUUUAAUAAGCCCGCUUCUAUACAAACAAUUGUAGAAGACAAAAUCCUUGAAUCUGUUAGCAAUUGUAAUAAAUUAAGAUCUUGGGUUGUAAAAUAUAAUGUUUCACAUAAUUGUUGUAGUUCUCUCAUUCAGAUAAUAAGUGAAUGUUUCAAAGUAACAAUAUAAGAAAUUUAAUGAACCCCCCCCCCCCUAAACUCAUAAUAUUGUAAAAUAUAACUAAUGGUUUAUAUUAUAUUCACUUGGGAAAAGAAAAUAUGUUACCUAUUUAAAAAAAAUAGUGCUCAUAUUUAUACACCUAAUCAUAUUUUAAAGUUAGUCAUUAAUAUUCAUGGG